rnacentral:rRNA from 1 species
GCGACCCCAGGUCAGGCGGGGCUACCCGC